rnacentral:rRNA from 1 species
GAUGAACGCUGGCGGCGUGCCUAAUACAUGCAAGUCGAGCGAAUGGAUUAAGAGCUUGCUCUUAUGAAGUUAGCGGCGGACGGGUGAGUAACACGUGGGUAACCUGCCCAUAAGACUGGGAUAACUCCGGGAAACCGGGGCUAAUACCGGAUAACAUUUUGAACCGCAUGGUUCGAAAUUGAAAGGCGGCUUCGGCUGUCACUUAUGGAUGGACCCGCGUCGCAUUAGCUAGUUGGUGAGGUAACGGCUCACCAAGGCAACGAUGCGUAGCCGACCUGGGAGGGUAAUCGGCCACACUGGGACGGAGACACGGCCCAGACUCCUACGGGAGGCAGCAGUAGGGAAUCUUCCGCAAUGGACGAAAGUCUGACGGAGCAACGCCGCGUGAGUGAGGAAGGCUUUCGGGUCGUAAAACUCUGUUGUUAGGGAAGAACAAGUGCUAGUUGAAUAAGCUGGCACCUUGACGGUACCUAACCAGAAAGCCACGGCUAACUACGUGCCAGCCGCCGCGGUAA